UGUAAGCGUAUACCAAAGUUGUUGCAGUUAAAACGCUCGUAGUCGGAAUUUGGCAGUUCCGGAUGUGUGCACGUCGUGUGCGCACUUCGCGGGGAUUGCUUUUGUGGUCUUGCGUAGGAUGAGGCACUUUUAUUAGUGAACGUCCUCACGCAACCACUUUUUACUGUGAGAAAAUCAGAGUACUCAAAGCAGGCAUUUGCCGUGAAUGUAUUAGCAUGGAAUAAUAGAAUAGGACUUGGUUCUAUUUUGUUGGUUUGUUGGGACUGAGUAAUGAUUAAGAGGGACAGUUGGGGGCAUUUGUAUUUCGGUGCUAGAGGUGAAAUUCUUAGAUUACCGAAAGACAAACUGCUGCGAAAGCGUCUGCCAAGGAUGUUUUCAUUGA
rnacentral:rRNA from 1 species